GCAGAUUUGGCUGACAUUCUGAGAUCAUUCCAGAAAGACCACCUUGACCAUCAAAAUUGUGCCAUUGUUGUUGCAAGACGGUCAAAAAUUCUUCCCAGUGCCUGUCAAGCUCUGUCAAAGUCCUAGUUUGCUUGGAACAGAACUCACGAAUUGAGUUUGUUGGAGAGUCUGCUGAAGAUCAUGGUGGGCCACAAAGAGAGUUCUUUAGGCUCUUAAUGAUCGAGGCACAGUCAGCACUUGGAAUUUUUGAAGGAAAGCAAGGCCAGGUUUUUUUUUUGCCUACAACCAGUCAGCCUUAGAACAGAACCGGUUUUACACGUGUGGGAAACUCAUUGCUUGGUCACUGAUUCAUGGAGGCCCAGGCAUUAAAGCCCUUCAUCCGGCUUUGUAUUUGUUGAUGUGUGGACAGGAAGGGCAGUUGGAUAGGUUUGAUUUUCAUGACUUGCCAGAUGAUGAAGUGCAGUUAAAGUUGCAACAGAUCAAGCAGUGCAAAAGUGUGGGAGACCUAAUUUCACUGAAGGCCUCUCUUGGAGACUGGAUUGCAGAAUGUGGUGUACCCUCGAUCUACAAUGCUGGCCUUCCUGAAAUGCCCAGAGUUUACAGCCUGGUCAUUAAACACUUUAUUUAUCUUAGGCCUGCUAGCAUGGUUUCACAGUUUAAGGCAGGAAUGAAUUCAUGUGGAUCAAUUUGGCAGACAGUGGAAAACAACUGGAUGGCAUUCAAGCCUCUGUUCACUAACACUCAGAAGCCACUGACGAGAAGUGAGUUCAAA